AGCAACAUUUUAGGUACAUUAAGGAUAACAAAUAUCAAUUAACAAUGUUUAUUUAUUUUUAUGCAUAGCUAGUAUGACAAUUAUUUAAAUCACACACUUUAAAUACUUCCAUGCAAGGGUUACAAACCUUUGUGAUUGAUCAUCCCCAUUAUUCUCUGCAGGUUUUUAUUCAGCAAGCUUGACUGAUCCAUUCAUGUCAACUUAUCUUCUGUUCCCUAAUUUCUUCCCUGUUAUCACAACUCAGUUUUGAUUACACCACAAAGCCACACACUGCUGGUCUGUCACUGCAUCUCAUUGGCUGGGAAUUCAUUGAGAAAAUGAAUGUCAGUCUUAAUGUCUGCGACUGCUUCAAUUUGAUUAUAUUGACAGAGGCCUCCACCAAAUGUCAUAGUUUGUCACUUUGCAGCUUCCCCGUCUUUCUCCGCCAUACAAAAGACAUUAAGUGGCCUUUUAUUGCAAUAACUCAUGCAUACUCAAAUCAACGAUGAUGGAAGGCAUUGAAAUACAUGAGUUUUUGGAAAAGGCAUGAAUGAAUGUUAUCUCACAGAUAUGGUAAGUUUUUGUUGAAUAUGUUAACAAUGGUUGUUGUUUGUUAUUAAAAAUUUGGCAUUGUGCUAUUCAAUUUGAAUUUGGGCCAUGAUAAGCAUUCAAAUGUAAAACAAUGUUGUCAAAUAACUUGAUCGUCCCCACUCCCUCGGCCUCUGAGACGUGCAAGCGCAUCUGCAAACACACACACACACACACACUCACAAACAAAGGUGCAGAGGGCCAUCUGUCUUUUCUGAUGGUACACAUCCGGGAAAACAAUGAAGGCGUCGUGACAUUUCACAGAUUGUCCUCCCAAAUACCUCACACUUCACACACUCAGAUAUAUGCCAUUUAUGUCACCACUGUUGUGCUCGAUUAAUUAAAACCUUACAUUACCUUAUACCUUAUAUUUAUUCCAGAAAUUACAUACGUCACCCACUUAUUAAUAAAUCUCUCCUGGCAAGACGACGUUUAUGAAUGCUGUUGUUGCCUUUGAGAUUUUACUCAUUAGUCUGAAUAAUAACUGUCACUAAUUCAAGCUGUUCCUCGAAUGGCUUUUUGAAUAGAAAGAGAGGGAGAGAGUGCAAGUGGGAGAGAAGCAGCAAUAGAGAGGAGAGAGGCCUGAGAGAUUAACUCCAGUGAGCUCACUCUGAGAGGCCCAGGAACGGCUGAAUAUUGUUCUAGUGUUGGGGAGAUGGAGGGGUGGGGGUGAAAGAAAAAAAAAAUCCCUAUGUGGCCAGAGAAAUGAACUUGAUGAUCUCAGGGGGCGGGGGGAGGAUCACCAUUCCUUGCUCCUGACAAUCAAAAUUAGAUUGGCCAGCACUGUGUCAACACUAGCCUCAGUUAAGGCAUGACAGGGGAUGGAGGGAGGGAGGGUUACCCCCCCGUGGGUGUUUGAGAGUUUGCCAUGUGAACUAUGGAGACCCCACAGUGCCUUUCUCUGACUGCUCAGGCCUCAAAGAAAUCCACAACCCCUUUUUAUUGGCCAGCACUGUAACCGGCAUCUCUGUCCCUAGUUCUAUAUUUUGUCCACUCGUUAUUGUUGAUUUUGUUGUCAUAUUGUAUUAUGAUAUAUAUGAUAUUGUAUCGUAUUGUAUCCUUGAAUCUGCAAUGUAUUCAAUCGGCAAGGCUUGUGAAAAAGAACAAAAUAUGAAUAUUAUGCAAAGGAGGAUUGCUUCUCCCUCCGUUUUUCAUUUAUUCUCUCUCUUUUCAUUUCACUCAUCCUCACUUCAUCCUUAUAGUGAGUGUGAAGGUUUAAAGUCACCCGACUGCUGAAAAUGUAUUCAUAUUACACAGUUCAUAUAUGCAAUCUCAAAGUAGUUUACAUCAUGAAAGAAUUGAAAAGAGAAUAUUUGAAUGAAUAUAAACACAUACUAAAUGCUACAUUGUAAAAAUUGUGAAGAACGUUUACAAUUCCUCUUAUACAUAAACCAAAUUAGAAUGUAUUUUUCUGAAUUAUGGAAGGUACAUAAAGUACAAGUGUAAACGGUUAUAAUGACUUGGUUGAGGGUUGUGCUUUUUCAGGUCGGACCAGUGACUUGGAUUUUUUUUUUGCGUCCAGCGCAACCACCGUUGAAUACGGAGUGCAGCCGUGUCAUAGAAUAACCUUCUUAUUUUUUAUUCUAUGAUCCCAAUAAAUUUCAGAAUUAAUUAAACUAGCAGAUUUUCCAAAACUUUUGUAUCUUUACGACAACCACAUGGGACUAAAGCUUUUCUUUUGGCUCUCGGGCUGAGAGAGAUGUCUGGAUAACUUUCAUGUAAUCACACACUGCUGUGAGGAGAUCAAAAUAAGUGGAUGGAAUGUGCAAAUUGCUGUGUGUUGGUAGAGAAGAAGCUGGUGUUUUUUCCCUCAUCAGCACGUUGUACCUGUGCGAAGCAGAGAGAAAAUAAAUUUUUUAAUUUUCCGGUACUCCCAAAUUGAGACAGUUUAUUGAGGGAUUUAUGUUUUGCUUAUUUGAGGGAGCGUACACAAAAAUGUUUACAGUCAGAUUUGUUCUUAUUUCAACAUCAUUUUGACCUUUUGGAGGUUUUACAUGAAAUACUUUACAAUAUCUUAAGAUCAUGUUUGGUGUUGGAAAUAUCUGCUUAUAGUUUGCAUAUAAACGUAAAUACAAUUAUUCCAUCCACUUUUAGAUAUAUCCCCCUCUCUUGAGACAAAGAAACAGAGAGUUACAAGAUUGAGAUCAAUUCAUCAUUUUGUUGUUGCUUUUAAAAAAGCACUUUAGCACACAACAGUUUAGUUCAAGUGUUUUAGUUUGUAUGUUUUCAUUAUACAAGUAUUUCUUAAAUCGAUAAAGUGUUGGUGUUUUUUCUGUAUUUUUGGUAUGAGUUGUGGUUACACAUUAAAACACCAAAGAAGAUUUCUUUCUAUUUUUUCAUGUCAGACUGAUUUAAUUUGAAUCAAACCUUGAAUAAACUUGUGUCACCAUUACUUUGAAAUGAAUCUGUUUACUGAGCAUUGUUGGCCAUCUUUCUUGACGACGACACAUAUUGAAACACUCCUCAAACUUACAUUUGGCUGCAUUCCAUGGAAAUGCCCCACCGCAUAAAAAUGGCAAAGCACCAAAAGGAUGCAAUUAUAAUCAAGACCAUUGUUGUAUCCCUUCAAGUGCAGUCAUCCGGUGCCCAGGUGCCCUCCGACCUGUUUCGACGGUGCAGCCCCUGCUGGACGGACUGCACCACCAUGUAUGGCAGUAAUUGUCAGCUUCAAACCAGAUGAAGAAGGAGCCAUUUCUAUUGCCAAGUAUUAUUAUACACAUACAGGAAAUUGUUCUCUGUAUUUAACACAUCCCACACAGUGGGAGCAGUGGGCUGCCGUAAAGGCUCCCAGGGAGCAGUUAGGGGUUGGGUGUGUGGCUCAGGGACACUUCAACAUGGGACAUGGAGGAGCCGGAGUUCGAACCACCAACCCUGCGGUUCCCGGCCCACCCUCUUUACUCCGUGCACCAUGGUUGCCCCCAGCGCUGGGAAAACAAAAAUAGUGACAGCUGUCAUUGACAAAGACACUCAACCAACACAGUGAACUGUACCUAAACUGAUUAAAUGACUGCUGACUUUACUACAGGUAAAAUAAAAUGAGAAUGGAUCGUCAUCAUUGACAUUUC
ensembl:lncRNA